rnacentral:lncRNA from 1 species
AAGAAUGAAGAAAAGCUGUCCAUCUUCUGAGAAGGUAUCACAGCAAUUUCCCCACAUCCAUUCCAGCUGGUGAUUUCCUGCUUGGUCGUCUUUUAAAACCCAGCCAUCUGAAUCCGAGAGUUGCUUCUUCAGCAAGGCCUCCCCUGACUCCUUCAGAUGUCUAAGCACCACCCCUACUCUUCUGCUGCAGCAUCUCCACUUGCUUUUGUCCUUCAUCUCCCUGAAAUUAUUUGCUUACUCAUCCAUCCAUGUCAGUUGCAAAAGCAUGACUUCCUCUAGUCCAAAGGCCAUUCAUGUUCAAUAUGUUAGCACUCGGAGCGUCUCCAGUGGUUGUUUCAAACAAGGCAAAUGAGUUCAGUUGAACUUUAUAUGUUCUGCCCUCCGACUGUGACUGUUAUUUACUUCCCUCCAAACAAAAUGUAAUAAUAAAAUGACUAAC